GCGUGGAUCAGUUGAUAGAGCGACAGACUCGUAAUCCAUAGGUCGCGGGUUUGAUGCCCGCCUAGAUAAACA